AUGGCCAAGCUCGCCGCGCAACUGAAGAGCAAGUUCUUCGGCCUCGUCGGCCGCUUCACCGUCUGCGGCCGCGCCGGGCACAAGGACGCAGUCGCUGCUGGUGAGCCCAAGGCAGCAGCAUCUCAGCAUGUUGAGAUCAGGUCAAGAGGAGGUUCACCAGGCAAGUCGGCAGGGUCCGUGCCUCGUAGCCACUAA
rnacentral:rRNA from 1 species